UCUUCCUGGCUGUUUCUGUUCCAACAGCUGUGUUGAUCUCACGUCUGAUUGCCUGAUGAGAUCGCAACCAGUUCAUUGACAUACAGCUUCGCUCUCCUCCAAAUUAACUGAUUUUUGUGAAAUAAAAAAUAAUCAUACUGGGAGGAAAGGAUGACCUUCAGAAUGUUUUACACUCUGAAAAGCAAGGAAAAAUUGUACAAGCACUGUGGUUGAAAGUACUGAGACAAGAAAAACAUCUGGCCAUCACAAUGGAAGGAUUUUCCACUUUAUAACAUGUUAUCAGUCUUUUUCAACCAAAAAUGGAAGAAGCACAAUGUGUUCCAUGGAUGGCAGAAGACAGUUGCAGCUGAUUUAAGGAUGUGGCUAGAAUCUUGCAUGUCCUUGGCUUCUUAAUCAGCCUAGUCCCGACCUCAUAGUGGUGGCAGACAUCAUACACUGACAAGAUGGAUUGUUUGGAAGACCUUUCUAAAACCUG